rnacentral:rRNA from 1 species
UGGGGAAUAUUGGACAAUGGGCGCAAGCCUGAUCCAGCCAUGCCGCGUGAGUGAUGAAGGCCUUAGGGUUGUAAAGCUCUUUCGCCGGUGAAGAUAAUGACGGUAACCGGAGAAGAAGCCCCGGCUAACUUCGUGCCAGCAGCCGCGGUAAUACGAAGGGGGCUAGCGUUGCUCGGAAUCACUGGGCGUAAAGCGCACGUAGGCGGAUCGUUAAGUCAGGGGUGAAAUCCUGGAGCUCAACUCCAGAACUGCCCUUGAUACUGGCGAUCUCGAGUUCGAGAGAGGUUGGUGGAACUCCGAGUGUAGAGGUGAAAUUCGUAGAUAUUUGGAAGAACACCAGUGGCGAAGGCGGCCAACUGGCUCGAUACUGACGCUGAGGUGCGAAAGCGUGGGGAGCAAAACAGGAUUAGAUACCCUGGUAGUCCACGCCGUAAACGAUGGAUGCUAGCCGUUGGGGGGUUUACCUCUCAGUGGCGCAGCUAACGCCUUAAGCAUCCCGCCUGGGGAGUACGGUCGCAAGAUUAAAACUCAAAUGAAUUGACGGGGUCAUAGCUG